AGGACGAACGCUGGCGGCGUGCUUAACACAUGCAAGUCGAGCGAUGAAGCUCCUUCGGGAGUGGAUUAGCGGCGGACGGGUGAGUAACACGUGGGUAACCUGCCUCAUAGAGGGGAAUAGCCUUUCGAAAGGAAGAUUAAUACCGCAUAAGAUUGUAGUACCGCAUGGUACAGCAAUUAAAGGAGUAAUCCGCUAUGAGAUGGACCCGCGUCGCAUUAGCUAGUUGGUGAGGUAACGGCUCACCAAGGCGACGAUGCGUAGCCGACCUGAGAGGGUGAUCGGCCACAUUGGGACUGAGACACGGCCCAGACUCCUACGGGAGGCAGCAGUGGGGAAUAUUGCACAAUGGGGGAAACCCUGAUGCAGCAACGCCGCGUGAGUGAUGACGGCCUUCGGGUUGUAAAACUCUGUCUUUGGGGACGAUAAUGACGGUACCCAAGGAGGAAGCCACGGCUAACUACGUGCCAGCAGCCGC
rnacentral:rRNA from 1 species